UGAAAUGAAGUAACUUAAACUCUGGUGUUCAAUUGGGGAGAUAGAAAGUAUCAUGGGAGUACUAUGGUCCUAAAAAUGUAUCAUGAAAAUCGACACAAAAGGCUGGUGAAGCACCUAGACGUCAUCUAGGCCCUUUCGCAUCAUUGAUUUCCCCUGACUACAUCUCGGUGGUUUCAUGAGUUCAGAGCAGAAACUGCACAUGGAUGAAGCCCUGCUUGAACAACCUGUGAAUCAACCUGAAUUGGAGAAUCAUGAUGGUCGUCGUCCCUCGUUGCUCACUGUGAUCGGCUUCAUAUUCUUAACCUUCAACUCAGUCAUGGCCGUGUAUAGAUCGAAUGCAGACGGGAAGACCAUUUCCUUUGUGGUCUUUUUCUACCUGGACCUUGUCGUGCUCUUCUACUUUCUACGCCAGUUUGAGAAGGCACCACCGGAUUCUCCCCGACGGGAGCACAUCAAGAUGGUAGUGUGGCUACUAACAACAAUGCUCACCACUGCCUUCUCAUAUAUGGUGGCAGAGAUCAUGCCCCUCCCUAUGCAGAUGCUUGUGUGGGCCAUGGUUGGAAUGACUAUGCUCGGUGGCUUCUACGCCUUCUUCUUGCACCAGAAGGGAACUAAGGCAUAACAAAGUACGACUCCAAUUAAUCCCGUGCUUCAAUUUCAGGUCUCCGCAAAGUCGUAAGACCAUGUAUGGGGACUGACGCCUACCCAGUGCUGGAAGGUCAAGGAAGUUGGUGAACUGAUGUUAGGUAAAAGGAAUUAAGCAUACAAUAUUGUUUCAAACUAGAACCUUCCAAGUUCUUCCUGCCUUUCAGAUGAAACUUUUUUUUUGGAAGAACAGGAGGGGCAAGCCCCUACUGGAUAUAUAUUAAAAGAGAAUACAGAAGGUACCUCCAAAACUGAAAGAAACUAAAGACAAACAAACAAGAGAAAGAAAGAGAAAGAAAGAAAAGGAAGCACAAAAGAAGCUAACUAUAAGUUAUUUAGCCAGGAAGACAUCGUCGGUAGUAAGGAUGGUUUGGCUCUGAGAAAGAGCGAGGAAAAUUUAGACAUGAAUUUCCUUUUACAAUUUUGCAUAGUAGGAUCAAUGUUAUUAAAAAUCCAGUCAUUCCUUGUGGACCAAAUACUCCAUGACAUGAGGAGAUGAUUUCCAUGAAAAACGGGACUUGAUGCUUUGCCUUGAUAAGCUCGAAGAUCUAGAAGAGGGACCUAGUUGUGAUUACUAUUACCCCAAUGGAGGCCCAACACAUUUUGGUGAAAUUGCAUCUUAGGAACAAGUGAGCCACAGUUUGUAUCUUUUGAAGAAUGCACAAUUCAUAGGUAUAGGAGUCUAAAUUCAUGGUUCGGUGUCUAAGGAGGUCUCUUGUGCUUAGAUGAUCCUUGAGCAUUAUCUAGAAGAACACUUUAUUCUUCAUUUAGCAUCUGGAUCUCCAUAUCCAUAGAAAAGCAGGGUGGACAUUCUGGUGUCCAAUGAUUGCAGCAUAAGCUUUGGAUGCACUCAAGGAGCUAUUACCCCAAAUAUACGACCAAAGGUCAUUAUCCUCAAUACAUGUAGUAGUUUGUACCUUGUUUUCCAGAUCUUGAAAUUGGUGAUGAGCUUGGAUUGAUAGAGGGAGGUGGAAGUUUUGUAUGAGAUUGGGUCUGUUUGUGGCCACCCUGAAUGAAACAUAUGGAUUUUUGGCAAAUGAGUAUAGCUCUGGGUAUGACAAGGAAGGAAUCGUCCCAUUCCACAUAUCUUUCCAAAAGAACACAGUAGAGCCAUCAAAGAUAGAGGUUGUAGCAAUUCCUUUGUAAGAGUCUAGUAACUUGACUAUAUCUUUCCAGCAGAAAGACCCUUUUUUUAUAUUGGCCGGGUAGCUGACCAUUAGAAUAGUAAUUGUCCCAGACCAAAUGAACCCAUAGGAUGUCCUUUUUAUUGUAGAAUUUGUGCAAGAACUUGAGCAAGAGGGCAUUAUUAUGUGCUGACAGAUUAAUGACCCCUAGUCCUCCCUCCUUUUUCGGCAAACAAACCAUUGGCCAAGCAGCUUUAGACGUUUUUUUGAAAUUUAAAUCCAAACCUCUCGACAAACAAUGUUUUCUGUAUCUAUCCAAUUGCUUGAUGACGCCUUUGUGUAGCUUCAUUGUUGAGAUAUAGAAGACAACAGAAGAGGGGAAGACCGAGUUGACCAUUUCAAGUUUCCCUCCUUGGGUCAGGAAUGUUGAGGUGUGGCUUAGUCUUUUUUCUAUUAUCUGAAUCAAGAGUAGGAAGUCUUCAAUUCUCAGCUUUGUUGUUCCAAGUGGAUUCCUAAGUAUGUAAAUGGGAGGCUACCCUUCUGACAGUCAAAAAUCUUGGAAAGGUGAUCUAAUUUUCAUCAGUGAUGUUGAGAGGUACCAUGACUGACUUGCUGUAGUUGACUCUAAGACCAGUUGAUUCUGCAAAUGUGCCUAUCAAUUCUUUCAGAACUAGGAGCUAUUGGGGAUAACCUUCCAUGAUGAGAAGAGUAUCAUCAACAUAUUGGUCUUUAGCAUUGUUAAUGAUAGUUUGUAAUAGAUCUGCAGCCAAGACAAAUAGGAGAGGUGAUAGAGGGUCACCUUGUCUAACACCCCUCCUGCAAUGAAACACUUUCCCUAGAACCCCAUUAAGAAGAAUUGAAGAAGAUUCUGUGCUUAGGAUGUCAUUAAUCUAGCCAAUCCAUCUUUCUCCAAAACCUUUGUGCUUUAAAAUGUCUAGUAUUCCCUGAUGCUUGAUUUUGUCAAAGGUCUUUUCAAAAUCCAGCUUUAUAAUGACCAUUUCCCUUUUGGAAGAUUUACAAAUAUGUAAAUAUUCAAAAGCCCAAACUAAGCAAUCCUGAAUUGAUCUAGUUCUGAUGAAGUCAUAUUGGUUCUUGUGGACCAGUCUUAAAAUGAUCUGUUUGCAGCCUUUCUGCUAAAAUCUUGGUUAUAAGUUUGAUGGAAGAGUUCAAGAGAGAUAUUGGCCUAAAGGGUCCUACUAGAAUGGAGAAAUCUUUCUUGGGGACCAGUGUGAUGUAAGAUCCAUUUAUAUUUUGGACACAUAUGUUCCUGUCAAAGAAGCCUUGGUACAAGUCAUAGAAUUCCUGAGAUACGAAGCCUCAUCUUUUUUUUAGAAAUUCACCAUUGAAGCCAUCGUAACCUGGUGAUUUGUUAUUGGGGAGCUCAGCAAUGAUUUGGUAUAUUUCUUCUUUGGAGAAUGGGUUUUCAAGCCAAGAGAGAUCAGAGUCUGCUAUUAAGAGAGAAGAUAGGUUAAAGUAUAUGUGAGAGAACUCUGAGGUUCCCAUUCUUUCUUUGAAAGCUGUCCAAAGUAGGUUGGCUUUAGCUUCAUGUUCCAAACGUUCCUGCCCAUUUUCAUCCCUGAGGAGUGUGAUUGUGUUUCACCUGUGCCCUAUAGUUGCAUUUGCAUGAAAAAAUUAUGUACAUUCAUCUCCAAACUUAACCCAAUUUAUGGUUCCUCUUUGUUUCCAAUAAAUUAUUUGCUGGGUUAGUAGUGACUGAAGGUGAGAGAGUAGGAUAUUUUUGAAGUUUCACUCUUCCAAGGUAAGGUCCCUUGAUUCCUCAAUGGUGUCUAGAAACUUUACAGUUUCCUUUGAAUUUUGAAUGGCAGAUUUUAGAUUAAGUAGCUGAGAUUUCCAGACCUUAAAUACUCUCUCAGAUUCUUGAAUUUAGCAGUGAUUCUCAUUGCGAAAUUUGUGUGGGUGGUAUGGAUAUUCCAGCCAUAUUGGAGUAUUAUUGGGAAAUUAUCAUGCUACAACCAAUAAUUCUCAAAUCUGAAUACGUGUGGUCUUGGGAUGUUGGUGGUAGCAGUGAUUACACAGGGUGUGUGAUCAGAAGUAUCCAUGGAAAGGGCUGAGGCUAUUGUGUUUGGUAGGAAGCUGGUCCAAGCAUUUGAGGAGAAGAACCAGUCCAGUCUUUCCAAUAAAGAGUUUUGCUGCUUGUUUGUCCAAGUAUGCUUACAACCUUUCAGUGUGAUUUUAGUCAAUCUUAGUCUGCUGAUUGCCUCAUUGAAUUUUAGCAUUUUCUGCACAUUCCCCCUGGCUUAUUUCCAUUUUUUAGAGAGAAAAUAAGGUUGAAAUCCUCAACAAUUAACCAUUUGAAAUAAUCAAGCAUAUGCACCCUUUUGAACCAAUCUAGAAAAUCCAUUUUACCAUCUGUUGUGCAAGGAGCAUAAAUAUUGGUUAAAAUCCAGAGUUCACCAGAUAACUGACAGCAAAACUCUAUUGAUUGGGCAUAAGCAUUUUGAAAGACUAGGUUUCCAUUAAACUUGGUAUUCUUCCAAAGAAUAAUGCUACCUCUUGAUGCACCUAUUGAUGGGAGGAAUUCGAAGGUAUCCAAAUAAGUUGGGCAAAAGUUUUUAAUGUAUUGAGAUUCAAAGAAUUCCCUUUUGGUCUCUUGCAGACAAAGAAUGUCACAUUUUGAUUCACCGAUUUUGCUUUUGACUGCAUUCCAUUUGCUUUCAAAGUUAAUUCCUCUAAUGUUCUAGCACAAAACAAUCCAACUUAUUUUGUUAUUGUUGUAAUUCAUUGCAGAAACCCAAUUUGAAAAAAAGAAGGAUUAUAUGCUCAGCAUACAACCAACAUAUCACAUACUUGGACCAAAAGCACAGAAGCAUGUAAAUAAAGGACUCCCAUAAGAUAAAUAGCUUGUUCACAUAAGACUUAGUUCCAGCAAAUAAAAGAACCAACUUAAGAGUGCUAUUAGAAAGUAACAUUAAAAUAACUAGCCACACAGGCAAUGACCUCAGGCCCCAUAUAGUGCACCUGAUAAAAAAAGGGGAAGUAGAGUUCCCCUAACUUCUUGACCUUCUUGCUAGAUUCAUGAUCAUCAUCUUUCAACUUCUUCUUGCCCUUUUCUUUCUUGGAGAUCACCUUCUUCGGGUCUUCUUGUCUCUAACUAUUUUCUAUGAGUUCUUGUUGGAAAGGGCUUUGUUAGAUAGCACCUCAGGUGCUAUUUUGCAAACUUUCUCGCCUAUGCUUUUGAGAGUAUCAGCUGGAAUGGAUGGGGGUAUGGCAACAUAAGCAAGGCAGCUUCUUGCAGUGCAACUGUUAUGCUUGAAGCCACCAUUUUUGGUUCUGAUUCUAGAACUUUUUCUAGCUUUGGUUUCCACUUCUGGGGUGACCAGCCCAAUUGUUUCUCUUUCUAUUGCCCGGGGAGCAGGAAGAGAUAAGGUAACAUUAUCUGUUUUAGGUGACAGGGAUGAGCAACCUAUGCCUUCAAUCAUAAGGGGACAUUCCAGGUCCACAGUCUCAGAGCAAGUUGAUGGAAGGGCAAAAGACAUCAUUGAUGACAUAUUAGUGCAUUUCAGCAUGGCCUUCCAUGCUUAGGAGGCUAGGAACCCCUUUGCCUAGUCAAAUUGUGAGGGGCAAAGCAGCAUGACUAUGAAGAAUAAGGCCCAGUCAAUUGGAAUAUAGACCACGUUCUCAGGACAUUCCACAGGAGAAAAAUGUUUGGCCCAGAGCCUGUACAGAUCCAGCUUAGGCUUGUUUAUCUGCACCAUGCCUCCUAGGAAGGAGUUCAAACCUGGGCCAAUCUGGUUCCCAGGAAAGUUUGUGAAGGCAAAGUUAAUGUUCAUACUCAGGUUGAAAGAGGCAUCUGGAGCAUUAUGACCUAGAAUAUGAGCUUCAGGAUUUGCAGCAUUCUGACCCAGGAUAAUAGCGUCAGGGACAUCUUGAGAUUGGGAGUUGGCAUUUGGCUCUAGGAUCUAAUCAAUGUCCAUGUGCUGAUCAACUAGGAUUUGAGCCUCAAGGAAAUCAAGAAAGUUCAGCAUCUGAGGAUCAGGAAUUGGUUCCAUAGUAGAAUUCACUCCCAUUGUAGGUCCUAGGCUUGAGAUGGGUUCAGGGCUGGAGCUUCCUGUAGCUGAGCUGUUGGAAGAGUUCAUAGGCGCAGACAAACUGAGAUGCAGGUCCAAUUCCUCUUGCUGCAUAUCAUUCUCUUCAUUCUGGUUUGCCUCAUUUUCCAUCUGGUCUUGUAUUGCUUCUUCAUUCUCAUUUUGAUUUGCCUCAUCUUCCACUUGUUCAAUCUCAAACUGAUGUUGAUCAGCUGGAUCCACAUUAAGAUUAGGGAUAGAUGGAUUGAGGUUGGGUUGGAGGGGUUGGGGCUGAGAAAAAGGUGGGAGCUGAUCAUUCUGCUGAUGCAACUGAUUGCCACCAAAGCCAAGGGAAAUAAAGUUAUCGUCAAGACCUCCAGGAGGGUGAUAACUGUUUUGGAUGCAAAAACUCCUGAUUACCGCGUUUGUGCUCCUAGUGGCUACUGGCUAGUGUCCACGGAAUAAUCUCUAGACUGCAUCGUCUUUAUCUGAAGAAUGGGGUCUCUUCUUUUUUCUGAAUGGGAUCAUGCAUGGGAGCGCCGUUGAGCCUCAAAAGAAGAAGAGUGGCUCAUUGUUAUGCCAUAUUUGCUUUUGCGUGUGUAAGAGUAAGGACCAAGUAUUUCACGCUUCAGCUUCGGCAAUGUAAUAAAUGAUUGUUGAACAAUCUGAGAUUUCUAUAUGGAAAUAUCCUCUU